rnacentral:rRNA from 1 species
GACGAACGCUGGCGGCGUGCUUAACACAUGCAAGUCGAACGGAAAGGCCCUGCUUUUGUGGGGUGCUCGAGUGGCGAACGGGUGAGUAACACGUGAGUAACCUGCCCUUGACUUUGGGAUAACUUCAGGAAACUGGGGCUAAUACCGGAUAGGAGCUCCUGCUGCAUGGUGGGGGUUGGAAAGUUUCGGCGGUUGGGGAUGGACUCGCGGCUUAUCAGCUUGUUGGUGGGGUAGUGGCUUACCAAGGCUUUGACGGGUAGCCGGCCUGAGAGGGUGACCGGCCACAUGGGGAAGGAGAUACGGCCGAGACUCCUACGGGAGGGAGCAGAGGGGAAGAGUGGGCAAUGGGCGGAAGGCUGAUGAAGCAACGCCGCGUGCGGGAUGACGGCCUUGGGGGUGGAAACCGAUUUAGCAUGGGACAAAGAGUGAGGGACGGUAAUGGGUAAAGAAGCAACGGCUAACUAAGU